rnacentral:rRNA from 1 species
UACGUAUGGAGCAAGCGUUAUCCGGAUUUACUGGGUGUAAAGGGAGCGUAGGUGGUUUAGCAAGUCAGAUGUGAAAGCCCGGGGCUCAACCCCGGUACUGCAUUUGAAACUGCCAGACUAGAGUGCAGGAGAGGUAAGUGGAAUUCCUAGUGUAGCGGUGAAAUGCGUAGAUAUUAGGAGGAACACCAGUGGCGAAGGCGGCUUACUGGACUGUAACUGACACUGAGGCUCGAAAGCGUGGGGAG